ACUCCUACGGGAGGCAGCAGUGGGGAAUAUUGCACAAUGGGCGCAAGCCUGAUGCAGCCAUGCCGCGUGUGUGAAGAAGGCCUUCGGGUUGUAAAGCACUUUCAGUCGUGAGGAAGGUAGUGUAGUUAAUAGCUGCAUUAUUUGACGUUAGCGACAGAAGAAGCACCGGCUAACUCCGUGCCAGCAGCCGCGGUAAUACGGAGGGGUGCGAGCGUUAAUCGGAAUUACUGGGCGUAAAGCGCAUGCAGGUGGUUUGUUAAGUCAGAUGUGAAAGCCCGGGGCUCAACCUCGGAAUUGCAUUUGAAACUGGCAGGCUAGAGUCUGUAGAGGGGGUAGAAG
rnacentral:rRNA from 1 species